CCCUUAGAUGUCCUGGGCUGCACGCGCGCUACACUGAUGCGUCCCAUGAGUGAUUCCUUACUCGAGAGGGUUGGGUAAACUGUUCAUGCGCAUCGUGAUGGGAAUAGAGCUUUGUAAUUUUUGCUCUUCAACGAGGAAUUCCUAGUAGGUGCAAUUCAUCAACUUGCGCCGAUUACGUCCCUGCCCUUUGUACACACCGCCCGUCGCUACUACCGAUUGAAUGGUUUAGUGAGGCCUCCUGAUUGGCGCCGCCGUGCCGGCAACGGAACAGCGGAUUGUCGAAAAGUUGGUCAAACUUGAUCAUUUAGAGGAAGUAAAAGUCGUANCA
rnacentral:rRNA from 1 species